AUUCCGGUUGAUCCUGGCGGACCCUACUGCUAUCGGGGUGGGACUAAGACAUGCGAGUCGAGCGUCUCUAGUUAUGGUGAGACGCGGCAGACGGCUCAGUAACACGCGGCUAACCUACCCUCAGGACAGGGAUAAACCCGGGAAACUGGGGCUAAUACCUGAUAGGCGGGGGCACCUGGAAUGGUUCUUCACCCAAAGGGCUUUGCAAGCAUGCUUUUCAAAGUCGCCUGGGGAUGGGGCCGCGUCCGAUCAGGUUGUUGGUGAGGUAACGGCUCACCAAGCCUAUAACCGGUACGGGCCGUGAGAGCGGUAGCCCGGAGAUGGGCACUGAGACAAGGGCCCAGGCCCUACGGGGCGCAGCAGUCGCGAAAACUCCGCAAUGCACGAAAGUGUGACGGGGCUACCCCGAGUGCCGUCCGCUGAGGAUGGCUUUUUCUCGGUGUAACUAGCCGAGGGAAUAAGGAGAGGGCAAGACUGGUGUCAGCCGCCGCGGNAAUACCAGCUCUCCGAGUGGUANGGAUGAUUAUUGGCUUAAAGCG
rnacentral:rRNA from 1 species